GCUGGCGUGGUCGUGUGGUUAUGACGCGCGCGCGCUCUAAAAACGUUUUUGUUCAUGAACAUGGGUUCAAAUCCCGUCGGUGGCA
rnacentral:tRNA from 1 species